GAUGAACGCUGGCGGCGUGCCUAAUACAUGCAAGUCGAGCGAACGGACGAGAAGCUUGCUUCUCUGAUGUUAGCGGCGGACGGGUGAGUAACACGUGGAUAACCUACCUAUAAGACUGGGAUAACUUCGGGAAACCGGAGCUAAUACCGGAUAAUAUUUUGAACCGCAUGGUUCAAAAGUGAAAGACGGUCUUGCUGUCACUUAUAGAUGGAUCCGCGCUGCAUUAGCUAGUUGGUAAGGUAACGGCUUACCAAGGCAACGAUGCAUAGCCGACCUGAGAGGGUGAUCGGCCACACUGGAACUGAGACACGGUCCAGACUCCUACGGGAGGCAGCAGUAGGGAAUCUUCCGCAAUGGGCGAAAGCCUGACGGAGCAACGCCGCGUGAGUGAUGAAGGUCUUCGGAUCGUAAAACUCUGUUAUUAGGGAAGAACAUAUGUUAAGUAACUGUGCACAUCUUGACGGUACCUAAUCAGAAAGCCACGGCUAACUACGUG
rnacentral:rRNA from 1 species